rnacentral:misc_RNA from 1 species
GCUUCUCUUCUUUUGCUAAUGACUGGAUCAUCAUGGUUUGAAAUACAGGUAAUGAACCUGUAGAGUGUCUUGGAGGCUCGAACGUGGUCUGCACCGUUCCCUCUGUAUUUCUUCUGAAAGAGGAUUCAGUGAUCUAGACAGGCUGCGAAGUGGCAUGAAAUUUCUCAUAAUUUGUUAACCAAACCUUUUGAAUGACUGCUCUGAUGGGAUAAUACUUCUCUUCUUUUGCUAAUGACC